rnacentral:lncRNA from 1 species
UCGAUUAUAGAAACUACAUUCGAAGGCUUACAAAGUUUUUACAUAAUGACCGAAAAAAAGGUCAGAAAAUAGACUCAAAUUUGGGCAAUAAUUAUGUUGGGUCAGAAAUGGUGGAGAGCCCCACCAUCGAUUAAAAACGUGUAAUAAUUAAGGGGAUGUCGUGGUGCUGACGAGGAUGUCUCAAUUAUUGUAGCUCUAAACUGCAAAAAAAAAUUUCGAGUUAACUGCAAUUUAAAUCUUGACUAAUUCAAUUAUUUUGGUGAUACAAUAGCGUCUCAAUUAUUGUAGCUCUAAACUGCAAUUUUUUUUUUUCCGAGUUAACUGCAAUUUAAAUCUUGACUAAUUCAAUUAUUUUGGUGAUACAAUAGCUGUCGCACUGGCCUUAUAAAUCCACACAGUCAACACGCAAUGCUGAUGUGGAAAAUUGCAAUUAUAAACUCAACUCUCACCCACAAUAAAGCAUUAAAAUGCUUUUUAUUGAAUAAAGGAAAUUUCCGAGAAUGCAAACAUCUCGCACGUUUUAAGAAAUAGGCUAAACUAUUUCCUGAUUAUUAUAAAAUUAUACAAAAACUCAAUUUUUGUCAAAAAUAUAUACUCCCUCCAUCCAUAAAAAUUAUAGUAGCUUUUUUACUAUAUUAGAACAUCCCUAAAAAUUAUGGUAUUUCCUUAUUUAGAAAUAACCACACAAACUUUUUCUCACAUUAUUUAUAAAAAGGUAGUUUCAAAUCUUUGCAAUCGUUUGCAGAUCAUACCGAACGAUUAAUCUAUACUUGAAACUUAUGAAAAUAUUAAUGAAAUUCAAAAUUAUACAUUAAAGUUUAGAUUUAGUAUACGUGUCAUCUGUUAUCAUGAAUAGUGUUUUAGAUUUUUUUAGUUUGAAAUGUAUAGUUGCAGUUAGAUAUUUUUCAAGAAUCUUUAUUUCUUUUAGAUUAAAAACUGAAUUUUGAUGUGUAAAAUUGUAGGUAAUGCAUUUCUAUUGUUAUUACUACUCCCUCCGUCCCACUCCAAUAGGCUCAUUUCUUUUGAGCACGGAGAUUAAGAAAACUUACUUUUUAGUAGAAAAGUGGUGUGGUCCACACCAAUUAAGUACACAUUUUUUACUCAAAAUGGAAAACGAACCUAUUAGAGUGGGACAUCCCAAAAAGGAAAACGAGCCUAUUGGAGUGGGACGGAGGGAGUAUUAACUUUAUGAUUUUCAUUUCAUAUUGGUAUCGUGCAUUAGUGUGUCAUUAUCAUAUCAUGUCAAAAUUAACCCAAAACGAUUGGCAAGACUUGUACGUAGUAAGAAUUUCACCUAUUACCAUUUGAAUUUUUUCAUUUUUUUCCAACUUAACUUGCACGUAGUAAGAAUUUGACCAAUUUUAGUCAUUGUAAUAUUACAAAUUAAUAACUACAAAAAAAUACAAAUUCAUUUUAAGCUUGCUUUUGGAGAUGGAAAACAUUAUAUAUUCGAAAAGACAUGUUAAAAUACAAAGGAAGUUAAAUCGUGCAUAUUUAACACUAGUACACAUCCUUUGAAAAAUAUAAGCCGCGAUCUCUUAUAAUAACAAAAGUUAAUUUGCCCUUGGAUAAAAUUCAAAUUUAUCACACGAUUUGUAAAAUAUGAGUCGCCUAAUUCUGACCAAAUCGGCGACGUUUUUUUGAUCUUUGAUCACGAAAGCACGUGUAUGGCCCAACUCGAAAUUCAGUCUAAUUGGGCCGCAGUUGUGGUUGUAAACCCAAUUCUGUCACAAAUUAUUUAGAAAAUAAAAUGGAUUUGUGAGAUAUACAAAUGAUUUGCCUCAGAGGUAGUGACAAUUAAAAUAUCAACAUUCUCAUUCUGGUAAUAUGUUUAAUAGAAAGAUGCAUCAUUGGCAAACCAUCUUAAACAAAAUCAGCCUAUAUCUGAAGAAACGGAAUAAGGAAAACAAAUGAAUUAGGCCUCAGCUACGAUGAUUCAUAAAAACAAUCAAAGUUCAAAAACUCAUUAUACAAUGUUAUGCAUCAUUGGCCAACCCAAACAAAUGAAAAUAAAACAAUGAAUGUUUAUGCAUCAGAGAGAUUCCCAACGACAAAUCAUCAUAUCCUAAUGGAAUGCUGAUGUCCCUGUCUGUUCAUCAUCACUUGCAGAAGACAUUUAACACAUAUAUUUGCAACAACCAAAUAAAGAUAAAGAGCAAAUUAUCUCACUCAUUGAUGAAUAUGAUCACGCAUUCACAACCAUCGAAUUUGACACAAAAUAUGCAGAGAAUUUUGAGCAUCAGAGAGAUUCCCAUUAGACUAAGUCAUCUUUUCUCCAAAAGGAGUUCUGAUGUCCCUGUCUUUUUAUCAUCACUUGCUUCAAACUUCAUGGCCAUUCAAACAGAUUCCGGAAAAAAGAAGGUAACUUUAUUAUUUAAAUUGAAAAAUAUAAAUGCCUCAAAGCCUCAGAGGUACAUGUUUUUUCAUAAUGAGGAAUUCACUCAAAGUAUAUUUAACACCAUCACUGGCGCGGGCAUCCCGAAUUGAAUUAAAAUGAACAAAGAAAAUUACAACUAAUAUCGAAAAAAUGCAUCAGAGAUUCUGAUUUCCGUGUAAAAGUAUCAUCUUUCUCCAAUCCGGAGUAAGAAAAAUUUUCAAUAUCAUCACUUGCACAAAAAUUUAUCUGAAAACGCAAUAUAUGGCACUUACUAUAGUGCACUUCUAGAUAUAUGAAUCGAUCCACAGCAAUAAGAUUUGGGAAACUAUAGUGUCUAUUUUUUUUUGGAUGAAUGAUCGGCUAUAUUUUGAGCGAUUUAUAGCUGUGAAGGCUGGUGUAGUGGCGCCGCAUCUAAGGUUUUCUAGGGUUUCAGGGGGUGGCACUUGGGCUGGGAUAUGUAGUUUUGGGCUAGGGUGGAUAUGUAGUUUUGGGCUAAAGAUUUAAUUGGAUUGAAGAAGCUCUCAAAAACCAAAAAAAUUGGAUUGAAGAAAGCAUAUAAUAGUAUGUUUAAUUCCAUUUUACCGUCAAUUUGGUUAGGUUUGAUUAAAUAAGUUAUAGAAAUAUUAAUGGAUUGGGCCGAUUUGGCAUGAGAAACGGUUAGGCAAAUCCGCUAAUGCAAAGAAUCCAAAGUAUUCAGUUUGUUGCAAUGACUUGUUUAAUUCCAUUUUACCGUCAAUUUGGUCAGUUUAUGGCUAUGAUAAUGCAAACAAACCCACGAGGUCUAGUUGAAGAUUUAGGUGAACAAGCGGCGCAAGAGAUGAGCAAUUGGUUAGUUCUUGUUAUUCCAGAAGAUUUUUCAAUGAACCUUUUUG